AUCCUUGUGGGACUCCAUGAGUCACAUGUAAGGUGGGGGAACAGUAUGAACCCAUUUGAACAAAUUGUGUUCUAUUUGUCAGAUUUAAAGAUCGGAAUGACUCUGGCGAUUUUCAAUGAAGAUGGGAAAAUGCCUAAUCGAAGCGAGCUGUUAAAGAACUCUGUCAGACAUGGUGAUAAUAUAUCUGCAACAUAUCUGAGAAAGCGACUGGGAAUGCCGUCUGCCCCAAUUGCCUUCCCGACCCGCAGGGUAGCUAAUUCUAUAGUUAGUUCGUUCAUCGUUGCUGGACUCAAGAAUAUGGAUUGGUUUACUCGUUUGCCAAGGUAAAUUUUGAAGCCAUCCAUGUCAUUACCGAACUUUUCAGAAAGAGCGGAACCAACAGUAGAAAAAUACUUAUUAAAUUCUUGCGCGAUCAAAUGAUUAUCAUUUAUAGUAAUGCCAUUUUCCAGAUGAAUUACAUCAAUAUUUUGCCUAGAUUUAUUUUUUGUGGAUGCAAUUUCAUUAACAAUUCGCCAUGUUGAUUUCGGGUUUCCUUUAUAGAAAGCAAUACGGUUUUGAUAAUAGAUUUGUUUAGCAUUAUCAAUAGUGUGUUUCAGUACGUUGCGAUACUUUUUAAAAUAAGAGCAUUGGGAACUAUUGCCAUUUAGAUAAUGUGACUUGAACAUCUUAUUUCUUAUGCGAAUACUAUUGAGUAUUCCUUUCGUAAUCCAUGGCUUUAGCUUUAUUCUUUUUUUACGGCGCGACAAGGGUCGAAAUGGGGCGUGAUUAUUGAUUAGACCAACAAAAGAUUGGGUGAAUUCAUCAAAUAUUGCGUUAUAGUUUUGAGAAUUCAAAUAUAAUGAACGAAAGCGAUUGUUUAUCAAGUUUUGCGUAUCUGAGCGAAACUCUUCAAUGCAAAAAGCAGACAUAUCUCUCGUUAUGAUGAGAUCAUUUCUACUAAGUGGUUUGAUGCCACUUAUACAGCACAUGAUGGGAUAAUGAUCUGUAAUGUCUGAUCUAAUAACAUAAGAAUCUAAUUUUUUAUUUGUUAUAUUGGAAUAAAAAUGAUCAAUAAGUGUG